AUAGAUUUGAGUACCUAAAAAGACUCUUCCUCUUUCGAAAAUGCUCCAUGACCAGAGCCGGGCUAAAACAUCUUGGAGUUCCAUUUAAAAGAUUCAGUUUAGAGUGCAGAAGGAUUCCAAGAUGGCGGCCAUACCGAUUAACUAACAUGGAAUUCCAGCAGGACAGCAUAAUUUCAGUUGACCCACAGCUGCAUCCCCCGAAGCCAAUGCAACUGUGGAGGAAGGGGAAAGCAGGUGGCACUAUACCGGCGUAUGGCCGUGCCCGCCACUCACUGUGGCCAGCGCCAGGGCACUCGGGUGACACAGGACUAAAAGUCACGCAAAGGAAGAUAGAAACACGACGAUCGCGCGUCGAGGGAGAGUGUGGACUGACACUCAGAAGCCAUGCUGGUGACUUUAGGUCGAGCCACGUUGGUGGGGAAUAAACGUCCCUAGCCCGAGACAGCCUCGACCUCUGUUUUAUUUUUUUUCGCCUCCUUCUGUUUUAAUUAUAUCUCUGUCCUCCUGUCUGCCUGCACGUCUUUUUUCUGUUCCCACCACUGAGUUAAGCACAUUCCAUGGCCCCAUCUGGUACCAGCAUGGCUUGGCAUAGUCCGACUUGUUCCAGCGCAGCACUUUCAUGGAACACUAGUGUGUGUGUGUGUGUG
ensembl:lncRNA